UACGUAGGGUGCAAGCGUUAAUCGGAAUUACUGGGUGUAAAGCGUGCGCAGGCGGUUGUGCAAGACAGAUGUGAAAUCCCCGGGCUCAACCUGGGAACUGCAUUUGUGACUGCACGGCUAGAGUGUGUCGGAGGGGGGUAGAAUUCCACGUGUAGCAGUGAAAUGCGUAGAUAUGUGGAGGAAUACCGAUGGCGAAGGCAGCCCCCUGGGUUAACACUGACGCUCAGGCACGAAAGCGUGGGGAGCAAACAGG
rnacentral:rRNA from 1 species